rnacentral:rRNA from 1 species
GUCCUAGCCGUAAACGAUGGGUACUAACUUGAGGUCUCCCUGUGGGAUCUCAGGUGAAGCAAAUGUGAUAAGUACCCCGCCUGGGGAGUAUGGUCGCAAGGCUAAAAACUCAAAAGGAAUUGACGGGGGCUCACACAAGCGGUGGAGCAUGUGGUUUAAUUCGAUGCAACGCGAAGAACCUUACCCAGGCUUGACAUGCUGGGAUUACUUUGGUGAAAGCCAAGGGAUUGCCUUCGGGUGUAACCAGCACAGGUGUUGCAUGGCUGUCGU